rnacentral:rRNA from 1 species
GAUGAACGCUGGCGGCGUGCCUAACACAUGCAAGUCGAACGGAGUCCAGCCUUUAAGACCUUCGGGUCAAAGAGGGGAAGACUGAGUGGCGGACGGGUGAGUAACACGUGGGCAACCUGGCUCAUAGAGGGGGAUAACAGAGAGAAAUUUCUGCUAAUACCGCAUAAGCACACACUGCCGCAUGGCAGAGGGUGAAAAGAGAAUCGCUAUGAGAUGGACCCGCGUCUGAUUAGCCAGUUGGCAGGGUAAGAGCCUACCAAAGCGACGAUCAGUAGCCGAUCUGAGAGGAUGAACGGCCACAUUGGGACUGAGACACGGCCCAAACUCCGACGGGAGGCAGCAGUGGGGGAUAUUGCACAAUGGGGGGAACCCUGAUGCAGCGACGCCGCGUGAGUGAAGAAGUAUUUCGGUAUGUAAAGCUCUAUCAGCAGGGAAGAUAAUGACAGUACCUGAAUAAGAAGCCCCGGCUAACUACGUG